rnacentral:sRNA from 1 species
CAGACUUGCAAUCCUGGAUUCCAGAAGCCUAGCAAUUCCUGCUCCAUAGCGUGCUCAUCCAACCGAUACGGAAUUAACUGUCGUGGCAGUUGUAUAGAAAAGUGUGGAGAAGAUUGUAUUGAACGGGUUCACGGGGAUUGUCCAGGCGGAGGUUCAGGUUUGUGGAUCGGUGUGUUAAUUCUGUUUCUGUUAUUUGUGAUCGUUGG